UACAGGAGACCCCAAGCAUUAUCCGGAUUUAUUGGGCGUAAAGCGUUCGUAGGCGGUUUUGUAAGUCAUUUGUUAAAUCUUCAGGCUCAACCUGGAGGCUGCAGGUGAUACUGCAAGACUCGAGUGUGGGAGAGGCAGAUGGAAUGCCCGGUGUAGCGGUAAAAUGGCGUUAAUAUCGGGUAGAACACCAAAGGCGAAAGCAAUCUGCUGGAACACAACUGACGCUCAUGAACGAAAGCGUGGGUAGCGAAAGGG
rnacentral:rRNA from 1 species